GACGAACGCUGGCGGCGUGCCUAAUACAUGCAAGUAGAACGCUGAAGAGAGGAGCUUGCUCUUCUUGGAUGAGUUGCGAACGGGUGAGUAACGCGUAGGUAACCUGCCUUGUAGCGGGGGAUAACUAUUGGAAACGAUAGCUAAUACCGCAUAACAAUGGAUGACACAUGUCAUUUAUUUGAAAGGGGCAAUUGCUCCACUACAAGAGGGACAUGCGUUGUAUUAGCUAGUAGGUGAGGUAAUGGCUCACCUAGGCGACGAUACAUAGCCGACCUGAGAGGGUGAUCGGCCACACUGGGACUGAGACACGGCCCAGACUCCUACGGGAGGCAGCAGUAGGGAAUCUUCGGCAAUGGGGGCAACCCUGACCGAGCAACGCCGCGUGAGUGAAGAAGGGUUUCGGAUCGUAAAGCUCUGUUGUAAGUCAAGAACGGGUGUGAGAGUGGAAAGUUCACACUGUGACGGUAGCUUACCAGAAAGGGACGGCUAACUACGUG
rnacentral:rRNA from 1 species